AAAGUUAAUUAAAACAGUCGCUUUUAUUAAUAAUUAAUAAAAGAGGAAAGUCCGGACUCCAUUGGGUUAUAGUGCCAGAUAAUUACUGGGAAGUGUGAACUUACGAAUAGUGCAACAGAAAGAAUACCGCCAAAAAAAUAUUUUUGGUAAGGGUGAAAAGGUAUGGUAAAAGCAUACCGAUAUAUUAGUAAUAAUAUAUGUCAAUGUAAACUCCACUAGGAGCAAGGCUAAAUAAGAUUUGUAUGAUACCCGUACUAUAAAUCUGGGUAAGCUGCUUGAAAUAAUAAGUGAUUAUUAUUCUAGAUAAAUGACUGUUCUUGACUGAAUCCGGCUUAAUAAUUAACUUUAUUU
rnacentral:RNase_P_RNA from 1 species